AUUGAACGCUGGCGGCAGGCCUAACACAUGCAAGUCGAGCGGAUGAAGGGAGCUUGCUCCUGGAUUCAGCGGCGGACGGGUGAGUAAUGCCUAGGAAUCUGCCUGGUAGUGGGGGAUAACGUCCGGAAACGGGCGCUAAUACCGCAUACGUCCUGAGGGAGAAAGUGGGGGAUCUUCGGACCUCACGCUAUCAGAUGAGCCUAGGUCGGAUUAGCUAGUUGGUGGGGUAAAGGCCUACCAAGGCGACGAUCCGUAACUGGUCUGAGAGGAUGAUCAGUCACACUGGAACUGAGACACGGUCCAGACUCCUACGGGAGGCAGCAGUGGGAAUAUUGGACAAUGGGCGAAAGCCUGAUCCAGCCAUGCCGCGUGUGUGAAGAAGGUCUUCGGAUUGUAAAGCACUUUAAGUUGGGAGGAAGGGCAGUAAGUUAAUACCUUGCUGUUUUGACGUUACCAACAGAAUAAGCGCCGGCUAACUUCGUG
rnacentral:rRNA from 1 species